UGAAAUCAAAAUAUUGUAUUAUUGAUCGAUAAUUUGGUGAAUUUGCUUCGAUCAUCGCAGAAGAAACGGAUCACCAAUCCCGACUGUGAAAAUACCUCUAGAAUUGUAAUUUAGAAAAGGUAAUAGAUCAAGUAUAAAGCUGACUUCGAGUAGUGAUUGUCAUGUUUGAUUAAAUUUUGUGCCGCUUCUCUCUCUGUCACCACCGUCUGUGAAACUUGUAUCGAUGUACGCCAUAAUCGUAUGAUAUGAUAAUAGUGAUAAUGAGCUACUUAAUUUUCUUUAUCAAUUUGAAGCUCUUCCGUAGUAAAAUGCAAAAUUUAUAAUGAUUAUGGUGAUUAAACGUAGGAGAAAGAAGUUAAUUUAAACUCGAUCAUUUUGGCUGGAGAAUUUUGUUGUGAUUAUUCCACUUCUAUAAAAUCUGAUUAAUUUGUGUUGUGCAUGGUUUUCAGUGAGAGAAAGAUUAAAACGGGAAAGAAUAAUAAAUAUUAAAUAUAGUAAUAUUUACAAACAUAUCUCGACAAACUACGUCGCAAGUGAACUCGAGUUCCCGCACGUGCUACUUUUGCAUAUCGAUUCGUACGUCGCGUUUGUUUACAUGGAAAAACUCGCGAACUUCGCGAGCCGAGUGCUCGUAAAAAAUUUACACGAGUUUGAGAUUGAAACGUAUGUACACUGUGUAACAGAAGUUUACGGUACGCUGAGAAACGAAGAAAAAUAGACGUAAUAAGAGUGAUUAGUACAAAUGAUUAACCGAUGCAAAAAUAAUAUUCAAAAAAUGAGAAAUCCGAUGCGGAUUGAUCCAUUUUACUUCGUCGCGUUACCUUCUUAGAGAAUUGAUAUACUAAAUGUUUGUGACUCGAAGUUUUCAUUGAACCGUCACCAUCGUAAGCUGUCGAAGAUCGUCGCACUUGCGCGCUGAGAAAACGACGUGCGACACGCUUUCUCCAAGAACCCUCCGAUGCUUCAGUGUGACAUCGGCGCGUCCGCAGCAACCAGUAAUAGUAGCAACAGCAGCAACAGCAGUCAACUCUUGCGCAGCAUCCGCAACUGCGUUGUGAUUCAUUCUCGCUCUCCCUGCGUGAGCGGAGUUCCUCGUCGGGAAGCGUGUCUCGGAAUGCGUCGCGCAGAUCAGUGGUGGUGAAAUCGAAUCCCGAUAAUCUCGUCCCGCCGCCAAUAUAUCAAGGGCAGGCCAAGCAGGAAGUGUCGUGCGGGCUUGCUGGCCGAUGAAGGCGCGUAAGAGUCGCGACAAAAGUAAGUCCGGAAGGCGAGAACGACUGUAAAAAAAAAAAAGAGAGAAAAGGCUGCUGCCCGAGAUCGAGCUCUUCCUUCUUCU